UAGGCUCCACUCCACAAGAGUUCACGGAGUGCCUGGAAGAAUAUCACCAUCGUUUGGAGAGAGAAUUUGGAAACGGAAUCUCUUAAACUAACAACAUAAGUAAAUUCUAGGCGACCGGGAGAAGAGGUCGACAGGAGCAUGCAUCUCUGGUCUGCAGUCUUGGACUGGAAACACAUUCAGAAACCAAGACAGAUUCAAGCCUUUACGCGGUAGCCGGCUGGUAAUGAGGGGGGGAUUGUCUAAAACGCUUAAAAAGCAACAGCUGGAUCCCGGGUAAGGCACCGUGUCCCUUCCAUACAACAUUUGAUUAAAAAAAACCUUUACAAUUCUUUCCUGUUCCCCAAUCAGAGUGUAUCACUAAUUUUGUGGUUCUUCUUCUUUUAACUCAUAGCCAUGAGAUUCGUAUUGGAGAAUCCAGCGGGUUCGACUCAAAGAAAAUGAUUUUCAUUCUGAAUUUAUUAAAUGGCUUCUCUCCAAGACGAGACACGGUCUGUGUACUUUCCAUUCAGGUAAAGCGAGCCGGGCCUGGGGUUCAGCUCAACAGCGCCGUACAUCGGGACAACCUGGCAGAGCUACAAAAUAACGAAUGGAUAUUUUACAGGCAGAAGGAAAGACCUUGACGAUAAAUUACACAGACAAAACCAGAGAUGUACUCUGGCGAAAAACAGUAUUCCAAAGUGGAAGCAGUGUGAUUAAAACCUUCAUAUUGAAGGAGAUUGUCAGUUUGUUAAAUGAACAUUUCUGAUCUUUACCUGUACAUCAUAUGGGAGCCGUGUAUUGCAAUAUUUGUACAAUAUUUAAUAAUUUCUCUGUAUAUUCACAGUGAAUGUCUAUAGUAGUUGGAAUAACGACAAAAAGUAUGUAGGAGGAAUUUCUCCAUUUUGAUUAUUGUUGAAGUGCGUUGGAGAUUGAAAGAAAUCUGUCUCUUUACGUACAAGUUUGUAUUUUGAUAGAAAAAAGGAUACCCAGUAAACUGGGCAAUGUAUUUUACAAUGUGAGAACAAACAGACCUGACACUCCAGAUACUUUAAACAGAAAUGUCCUCGUGAUCAGUUUUAUAAGUUAGUCAAGAGGGGUUUCACUUAAUCUCACCAUUUAUGGGAGCGGAUCUUAAAGUUUAGCUCUAAGUACCACCCGUGAUUACGUGGUGGUGAUAAUAAACAGAUUCACAGGAACCCUCUAAUAAUUACAGUCAGAUUUCUUCAUGUUGAAGAAUGGGUAGUUUACUAAGGGCAUUAAGCAGUUACUCAUCAAUACAAUGUCAUAUACAUGUCAAUGUUUCACAAUGCUGUUGAGUUUCUCAAUGGAUGUUCUUAAUGAAAUGUCCAGUGGCUGGAAUAAUAACCAUGGGUUUGGUAGGAGAACUUUCUCCAGGUGCCUCCCUCUUGUACUCUGUCAUGGAUGGGAAGUUGAUUUGCCUUCUUGUUGAAGAUUAUUUGUACUUUUGUGAAAGGCUAAAUAAAUAAUGAUUCUGGAAAUGAGCUCAA